rnacentral:rRNA from 1 species
UGGGGAAUCUUAGACAAUGGGCGCAAGCCUGAUCUAGCGAUGCCGCGUGAGUGACGAAGGCCCUAGGGUCGUAAAGCUCUUUCGCCAGGGAUGAUAAUGACAGUACCUGGUAAAGAAACCCCGGCUAACUCCGUGCCAGCAGCCGCGGUAAUACGGAGGGGGUUAGCGUUGUUCGGAAUUACUGGGCGUAAAGCGCGCGUAGGCGGACUAUUAAGUCAGGGGUGAAAUCCCGGGGCUCAACCCCGGAACUGCCUUUGAUACUGGUAGUCUAGAGUUCGAGAGAGGUGAGUGGAAUUCCAAGUGUAGAGGUGAAAUUCGUAGAUAUUUGGAGGAACACCAGUGGCGAAGGCGGCUCACUGGCUCGAUACUGACGCUGAGGUGCGAAAGUGUGGGGAGCAAACAGGAUUAGAUACCCCCGUAGUCC